rnacentral:lncRNA from 1 species
CCCUUUGUGGGUUAUAUUUUUUUGAAGAAAUUGAGUUGUCUGAAAAAAAAGAAAUUCUAAUUUUCUUAGUAUAAUUCCAUUCAAGUUAUGUUUCAAACUGUUUCUCUUUGUAUAACAUAUCUAGCCAUUAGAACUACAUGAUCACUUCUUAAAACAUUGCCUUAGGAUCAUUAAAGCAAACAGCAUUAAAAAAUAGCUUACAGCUUUAAAAAAUAAUGUGAAAAUUUAGUGGUUUUUCUCCUCAUACCACCACACAGACACACACGCGCGCGAGUGUUCCCACUUUCACACACAAAGAGCAGCUCCGUGGCAGGCGAAUCAGCUGACUGUGUCGUGAGUGAGCACACAGGCCUGCUUCUUACAUCUGUUUGGACCCAGCUGUUUCCGGGGAGCUUAAGCUGUUAGCUCGCAUGCAAAUACCUGCUUCGAGGGGCCUGAGACCUGUGCUGCUUUGGGCUGAAAUUGAUUGCUGAAGUUACAGGAUUGAAAUGCCUCAGGUGAAAAAUUCAGUCAAAAGGGAAAGAUUAAGGCGACAGCUCUGUAAAGCUGGCUGCCUGACAGCCGGGAUGCUGAGGGGCGGGCGGAGCUGCUGCCAGUAAGGUCGGCGGAAUUAACACUCAAUUGCCCCUCGACUGUGAAAGGCUAUCGAGGGGGUUGCCGCCCAUCCGAAUACACUUCUGACUUCAGUGAAUUUCAGUGCUAUCUAAGCCUUCCCGCUUGUUUAAGUGAUCUAACUGAUAACAAACUCUCAGAGAGGAGCUUCUGGUGGACGAGGUGUUCCUG